rnacentral:rRNA from 1 species
UACACACCUCAGAGCCAACUUCAAUAAAGAAUUUUAUUCUAAAUUUACUACUAAAUCCACCUUAAUAAUAUUUUACAUACACUAAUCCGUAUUAAUUAUAAUUUAUUGUAACCCACUUCUCCCAUAUUUAUAAGUUGCACCUUGACCUGAAGUCAUAAAUUUAAAAUUAAUUAGAUUAUAUUUUCUAAAAAUAAUCUGACAACGGCGGUAUACAAACUGAAUACAAAAAUAUGUACAUUUAAACGUGGAAUAUCGAUCCAAGAGCAGGUUCCUCUAGUAAGAAUGAAGUACCGCCAAAUUCUUUAGGUUUCAAUAAAUCUACUACCCUGGCAAUAAAUUUAAUAAAGA